rnacentral:rRNA from 10 species
ACCCGGAGAACUGAAACAUCUUAGUACCCGGAGGAAGAGAAAGAAAAUUCGAUUCCCUUAGUAGCGGCGAGCGAAACGGGAAGAGCCCAAACCAAAAAGCUUGCUUGUUGGGGUUGUAGGACACUCUAUACGGAGUUACAAAGGACGACAUUAGACGAAUCAUCUGGAAAGAUGAAUCAAAGAAGGUAAUAAUCCUGUAGUCGAAAAUGUUGUCUCUCUUGAGUGGAUCCUGAGUACGACGGAGCACGUGAAAUUCCGUCGGAAUCUGGGAGGACCAUCUCCUAAGGCUAAAUACUCUCUAGUGACCGAUAGUGAACCAGUACCGUGAGGGAAAGGUGAAAAGCACCCCGGAAGGGGAGUGAAAUAGAACCUGAAACCGUGUGCUUACAAGUAGUCAGAGCCCGUUAAUGGGUGAUGGCGUGCCUUUUGUAGAAUGAACCGGCGAGUUACGAUUUGAUGCAAGGUUAAGCAGUAAAUGUGGAGCCGUAGCGAAAGCGAGUCUGAAUAGGGCGUUUAGUAUUUGGUCGUAGACCCGAAACCAGGUGAUCUACCCUUGGUCAGGUUGAAGUUCAGGUAACACUGAAUGGAGGACCGAACCGACUUACGUUGAAAAGUGAGCGGAUGAACUGAGGGUAGCGGAGAAAUUCCAAUCGAACCUGGAGAUAGCUGGUUCUCUCCGAAAUAGCUUUAGGGCUAGCCUCAAGUGAUGAUUAUUGGAGGUAGAGCACUGUUUGGACGAGGGGCCCCUCUCGGGUUACCGAAUUCAGACAAACUCCGAAUGCCAAUUAAUUUAACUUGGGAGUCAGAACAUGGGUGAUAAGGUCCGUGUUCGAAAGGGAAACAGCCCAGACCACCAGCUAAGGUCCCAAAAUAUAUGUUAAGUGGAAAAGGAUGUGGCGUUGCCCAGACAACUAGGAUGUUGGCUUAGAAGCAGCCAUCAUUUAAAGAGUGCGUAAUAGCUCACUAGUCGAGUGACACUGCGCCGAAAAUGUACCGGGGCUAAACAUAUUACCGAAGCUGUGGAUUGUCCUUUGGACAAUGGUAGGAGAGCGUUCUAAGGGCGUUGAAGCAUGAUCGUAAGGACAUGUGGAGCGCUUAGAAGUGAGAAUGCCGGUGUGAGUAGCGAAAGACGGGUGAGAAUCCCGUCCACCGAUUGACUAAGGUUUCCAGAGGAAGGCUCGUCCGCUCUGGGUUAGUCGGGUCCUAAGCUGAGGCCGACAGGCGUAGGCGAUGGAUAACAGGUUGAUAUUCCUGUACCACCUAUAAUCGUUUUAAUCGAUGGGGGGACGCAGUAGGAUAGGCGAAGCGUGCGAUUGGAUUGCACGUCUAAGCAGUAAGGCUGAGUAUUAGGCAAAUCCGGUACUCGUUAAGGCUGAGCUGUGAUGGGGAGAAGACAUUGUGUCUUCGAGUCGUUGAUUUCACACUGCCGAGAAAAGCCUCUAGAUAGAAAAUAGGUGCCCGUACCGCAAACCGACACAGGUAGUCAAGAUGAGAAUUCUAAGGUGAGCGAGCGAACUCUCGUUAAGGAACUCGGCAAAAUGACCCCGUAACUUCGGGAGAAGGGGUGCUCUUUAGGGUUAACGCCCAGAAGAGCCGCAGUGAAUAGGCCCAAGCGACUGUUUAUCAAAAACACAGGUCUCUGCUAAACCGUAAGGUGAUGUAUAGGGGCUGACGCCUGCCCGGUGCUGGAAGGUUAAGAGGAGUGGUUAGCUUCUGCGAAGCUACGAAUCGAAGCCCCAGUAAACGGCGGCCGUAACUAUAACGGUCCUAAGGUAGCGAAAUUCCUUGUCGGGUAAGUUCCGACCCGCACGAAAGGCGUAACGAUUUGGGCACUGUCUCAACGAGAGACUCGGUGAAAUCAUAGUACCUGUGAAGAUGCAGGUUACCCGCGACAGGACGGAAAGACCCCGUGGAGCUUUACUGUAGCCUGAUAUUGAAAUUCGGCACAGCUUGUACAGGAUAGGUAGGAGCCUUUGAAACGUGAGCGCUAGCUUACGUGGAGGCGCUGGUGGGAUACUACCCUAGCUGUGUUGGCUUUCUAACCCGCACCACUUAUCGUGGUGGGAGACAGUGUCAAGCGGGCAGUUUGACUGGGGCGGUCGCCUCCUAAAAGGUAACGGAGGCGCUCAAAGGUUCCCUCAGAAUGGUUGGAAAUCAUUCAUAGAGUGUAAAGGCAUAAGGGAGCUUGACUGCGAGACCUACAAGUCGAGCAGGGUCGAAAGACGGACUUAGUGAUCCGGUGGUUCCGCAUGGAAGGGCCAUCGCUCAACGGAUAAAAGCUACCCCGGGGAUAACAGGCUUAUCUCCCCCAAGAGUUCACAUCGACGGGGAGGUUUGGCACCUCGAUGUCGGCUCAUCGCAUCCUGGGGCUGUAGUCGGUCCCAAGGGUUGGGCUGUUCGCCCAUUAAAGCGGUACGCGAGCUGGGUUCAGAACGUCGUGAGACAGUUCGGUCCCUAUCCGUCGUGGGCGUAGGAAAUUUGAGAGGAGCUGUCCUUAGUACGAGAGGACCGGGAUGGACAUACCUCUGGUGUACCAGUUGUCGUGCCAACGGCAUAGCUGGGUAGCUAUGUGUGGACGGGAUAAGUGCUGAAAGCAUCUAAGCAUGAAGCCCCCCUCAAGAUGAGAUUUCCCAACUUCGGUUAUAAGAUCCCUCAAAGAUGAUGAGGUUAAUAGGUUCGAGGUGGAAGCAUGGUGACAUGUGGAGCUGACGAAUACUAAUCGAUCGAAGACUUAAUCAA